UACGAAGGGGGCUAGCGUUGCUCGGAAUCACUGGCGUAAGGUGCGUAGGCGGGUCUUUAAGUCAGGGUGAAAUCCUGGAGCUCAACUCCAGAACUGCCUUGAUACUGAAGAUCUUGAGUUCGGGAGAGGUGAGUGGAACUGCGAGUGUAGAGGUGAAAUUCGUAGAUAUUCGCAAGAACACCAGUGGCGAAGGCGGCUCACUGGCCCGAGUACGUGACGCUGAGG
rnacentral:rRNA from 1 species